CCAAUAGCGUAUAUUAAAGUUGUUGCAGUUAAAAAGCUCGUAGUUGAAUUUCGGGGUCAGUAGGCUGGUCGUGCCUCAGGUACGUACUGGUCUUACUGAUUCCUCCUUCCUGACGAACCGUAAUGCCAUUAAUUUGGUGUUGCGGGGAAUCUGGACUGUUACUUUGAAAAAAUUAGAGUGUUUAAAGCAGGCUAACGCUUGAAUACAUUAGCAUGGAAUAAUGAAAUCGGACGAUCGAUCCUAUUUUGUUGGUUUCUAGGAUUGACGUAAUGAUUAAUAGGGAUAGUUGGGGGCAUUAGUAUUCAAUUGUCAGAGGUGAAAUUCUUGGAUUUAUUGAAGACUAACUACUGCGAAAGCAUUUGCCAAGGAUGUUUUCAUUAAUCAAGAACGAAAGUUAGGGGAUCGAAGACGAUCAGAUACCGUCGUAGUCUUAACCAUAAACUAUGCCGACUAGGGAUCGGAUGAUGUUAAUUUUUUAAUGACUCAUUCGGCGCCUUACG
rnacentral:rRNA from 1 species